UCCCAGCCUAUCUUUCAACACAUUGCACAAUACAGAGCUGGAAUUGUCCCUGUUGCUUACAGAAGGUAUGCUUAAUCUGUGCCUAUUUAGCCUUUAAUAUAGGUUCGUAUAAGAGCCUAAUUGUACUUUACACUUUUCCUUCAUAAGAUACAGAAGUAGUGUGAAAAAUCUUGUAUUCUCUUUCGUCACAAUAAGGACAAGUAGACAGCAGCUAUAAAUUUGUGCAUUCACUUUGCAGGUUUAUUAUUUUGUUUUGUUUAUAUUUUGUGUUGAAAUUUAGGGAAGCCCACCUAUGUUUCGGUCACAACAUAAGAAACAUAUUAAUUUUCUGUUUGUAGUCUAUAUAAUUCAUGCUUCUUGUCAGUUUUUGCAUUCAAGUAAAUAGGACCCUCAAUUUUUCUGCUUAAGGUCCCCCACCAGUGUAUUAAUAAUAUUUACUGCAAUAAUUUCUUGUUGGUGCCUUAGUUUUUUGGACUAUGUGGGGUCUAAUUAUACUAUACACUUAUUUUCUCAACCACAUAUUUAUACGUGCAACUUGGGUUCAAGGGCAUAUCAAGUAUCCAAUCCAUGUAUUAAAUUGUCAUGAUUUUUAGAGAGGUGGUUCGAUGGUGCAAGGGAGAUGUUUGUGAUAGUGAAAACCUGU
rnacentral:lncRNA from 1 species